UCACCUGCUUCAGAUGCUUCCGAUGGUUGAUGGUGUCGCAGGUGUGUCUCGUUAGUCAGAACAGGAAGACGCCAACACAUGCUUUACCGCUUCAUUAGUUUCAUGUUUAUUUGUAUUAACUGUAAAUAUUAGUGGAUCAUCAUCACUGAUGUCGUCGGACUGGACUGUUGGAGCCAAUUAACCUGCCACAAGCAACAUGCCAAUCACGGUCUGGUGCUUGGUCCUGGGUGGUGGAGAAAGGAGGUUGGCAUCUGAAGAGCGGAGACGGCGAGAUGGAGUGUGGUGGUUGAGAAGGGAGCAGGGUUUGUACCUCUGGCUGAAGUGAUACAGCACCAGCCUCCGCACAGAGCAAGCCCGAGCCACCGCCGCUGCCAUUUCAGGUGUACUGUGUCCGUGGUCCACUGCUUUCUCUCGGUGCUCGUCCCCAAGGG